CGAGAUCUUCGGAUCUAGUGGCGCACGGGUGAGUAACAUGUGGGAAUCUACCUGAAGGUUCGGAAUAACUGCGGGAAACUGUAGCUAAUACCGGAUGUGUCUGCAAAGAGAAAGAUUUAUCGCCUUCAGAUGAGCCCGCACUAGAUUAGCUAGUUGGUGAGGUAAUUGCUCCACCAAGGCUACGAUCUAUAGCUGAUUUGAGAGGAUGAUCAGCCACACUGGGACUGAGACACGGCCCAGACUCCUACGGGAGGCAGCAGUAGGGAAUAUUGGACAAUGGGGGAAACCCUGAUCCAGCAAUGCCGCGUGAGUGAAGAAGGCCUUCGGGUUGUAAAGCUCUUUCAUCAAUGAUGAUAAUGACAUUAGUUGAAGAAGAAGCCCCGGCUAACUUCGUGCCAGCAGCCGCGGUAAUACGAAGGGGGCUAGCGUUGUUCGGAAUCACUGGGCGUAAAGCGUAUGUGGGCGGAUCAAAAAGUUAGAUGUGAAAUCCCUGGGCUCAACCCAGGAACUGCAUUUAAAACUAGUGAUCUAGAAUUUGGUAGGGGCCAGUAGAAUUUCCAGUGUAGAGGUGAAAUUCGUAGAUAUUGGAAAGAAUACCAGUGGCGAAGGCGACUGGCUGGGCCAUUUUUGACGCUGAGAUACGAAAGCGUGGGUAGCAAACAGGAUUAGAUACCCUGGUAGUCCACGCAGUAAACGAUGAGUGCUAGUCGCUGGGACAAUAGUUUCAGUGUCGAAGCUAACGCAUUAAGCACUCCGCCUGGGAAGUACGGUCGCAAGAUUAAAACUCAAAUAAAUUGACGGGGGCCCGCACAAGCGGUGGAGCAUGUGGUUUAAUUCGAAGCAACGCGAAGAACCUUACCAGACCUUGACAUGGUAUGUUUGAAUUACAGAAUCGUAAUUCUUCAGUUCGGCUGGCAUACACACAGGUGCUGCAUGGCUGUCGUCAGCUCGUGUCGUGAGAUGUUGGGUUAAGUCCCGCAACGAGCGCAACCCUCAUUUUUAGUUGCCAUCAGGUUAUGCUGGGCACUCUAAAAAAACUGCCGGUGAUAAGCUGGAGGAAGGCGGGGAUGACGUCAAGUCCUCAUGGCCCUUACGGUCUGGG
rnacentral:rRNA from 1 species